ACGCUCGACACCUACGGAAGGCAGCAGUGGGGAAUAUUGCACAAUGGGGGAAACCCUGAUGCAGCAACGCCGCGUGAAGGAAGACGGUUUUCGGAUUGUAAACUUCUGUUCUUAGUGAAGAUAGUGACGGUAGCUAAGGAGCAAGCCACGGCUAACUACGUGCCCGCAGCCGCGGUAAUCUGAGCGGGCUGGCAAGGC
rnacentral:rRNA from 1 species